CGGUGCCAAUAAGGACGCGGAUCUCAGGACGUGCAGGACGAGGCAGCGCAGCAAGGACACAGAGUGAAGCACAUUUUAAUGAGGGGACGCAGAUAAAGAGUGAACAGACGCGUAGACAGCGAGAAGAAAAUCAGCAGUAUCCAGUAUUUCAUCGGGUCUCUGGACACUGAAGUCUGAAGCUCCCUGUCCAUCCAUCAUCGAUCCUACAAAGACAUCACACCCGGAGAAAAUCGUGCCUGCUUUGUGUCACAUCUUGCAUCCUUUUUGCUUCACUUUAAAGGCGGACAGUCCGCAGGGAAAUCAUGAAUUUGACAGACAUGUCUGGGUCGAGCUCUGCAGAUAGGUCGAGGCAUCUCUAUCAUGGGUGUGAAGAUGUUACAGUGCUUUCCCUUCUACAGACGCUGCAAAGAGCGCUGCAAGAGCAGGCAGUGCCCGCCCCCUCCAGUGCCUGUGGAGGAGAUGAAGCCACGUCUGUCCUCUACGACAUCCUGGGGCAGUGACAGCGAAGGAACAGGAAGCAUCAAUCGGGGUUCCCAGAUCUAUUUCUCCACCAAGGCCCGGCUUUCUUUCAGACACCAGCUGGACAGCAACAUCAAUGCAGUGGAUGCCACCUACUGAGGAAGACCCAGGGCUUCAUAGGACUUGAAUGGACUCAGUUUUCCAUCGCCGGUUUAUGCUUGGAGCCCGCUAGUAGAGCAAACACAUUUUGACGCCACCUUUAAAUGGGAAUGGCGGUAGAGUUGCGGAACCACAGUUUGUCUUUUAACUGCUUGUUCCUCGCUGCUCGCACACAACUGCUAAUGAUUCGUCAGAUUCAAAGGACAGAGGGAAAAGGACUGGGAUGAGACGGCGCUCAGAAGUCAGACGAGUAGAUCCGCUGCCCAAUCGGGCAUACUGAUGAGGGCGAGGACAAUGUAGAGAGUUGUUUACAGCGUUCACUACCAAUAAGUGCAUUACUUUGUCUUCUGUUUGGAAGGUGUUUUUUUUUUCUUACUGUGUUUCUUUUAUAUUUCUUUUUUUUUUUUGACUACCUUUGUAGAAAAAGAUCAAUUUGCUGAUUAGAUCAUGGCUGGAGUUAAUUAAGGCUGUUUCACAAAGCAAGAGGAGGAAGAUAGCAUUGAGUGUGAUGAAGUGUGUGACUAUCUAAACCUCAUCAUUAAGUCAUCAUCGUGAAGUAACUUUCUAAUCCUGCUCUGUGACACAGAACCCUGCUAGUUUAAAGUGAGAUAAUAAAACAGAAAAUGGUUUGCUGUUUUAUAAAAGACAUUAACUGUAAAAACAUGAGGUGGGACUGUGUGCAACAUCUGCUGACCAGGUCUGAGCCUGUUUAACAGCAGUGUUGUUAAUAGUUAAUAUUCAUCUGUGAGAUCUACGGUGGCCCUGAUACUUCAGAAAGGCUUGCUGAAAUCCAGUUGUGUUGUGCACCACAGGGCAACCGUAUGAAAUAAGCCGAGCUACACAGCAGCUUAUUUCUGAUAGGUAUUUUCUUAGUCUUGCUUGAUUCUGAUCAAUAUUUUUAAUUAGAAAAAAAGACGCUCUGGCUGUGUUUUUAAAUUGCACGUUUUUUGUUUUUUUUUUUUUUGUAAGAAAACCUUUCUGUAUUUGCCCAAAUUGAAAAACUAUGACUGUUAAAUGCUGAUCAAAAAAAAAAAAAGACUAAUGAUCACUUGUUCAAAUCCAGAGUAUGUCAAAAAUAUCUUCAUUCUAAACUAAGCAAAUAUAAAAUAAGUUGUAACAAAA
ensembl:lncRNA